rnacentral:rRNA from 1 species
UACGGGGGGAGCAAGCGUUGUUCGGAUUUACUGGGCGUAAAGGGCGCGUAGGCGGCGCAACAAGUCACUUGUGAAAUCUCCGGGCUUAACUCGGAACGGUCAAGUGAUACUGUUGUGCUAGAGUGCGGAAGGGGCAACUGGAAUUCUCGGUGUAGCGGUGAAAUGCGUAGAUAUCGAGAGGAACACCUGCGGCGAAGGCGGGUUGCUGGGCCGACACUGACGCUGAGGCGCGAAAGCCAGGGGAGCGAACGGG